CCUACGGGAGGCAGCAGUGGGGAAUAUUUGGCAAUGGGCGCAAGCCUGACCCAGCAACGCCGCGUGAAGGAAGAAGGCUUUCGGGUUGUAAACUUCUUUUCUCAGGGACGAAGCAAGUGACGGUACCUGAGGAAUAAGCCACGGCUAACUACGUGCCAGCAGCCGCGGUAAUACGUAGGUGGCAAGCGUUAUACGGAUUUACUGGGUGUAAAGGGCGUGUAGGGGGGAAAGCAAGUCAGAUGUGAAAACCAUGGGCUCAACCUGUGGCCUGCAUUUGAAACUGUUUUUCUUGAGUACUGGGGAGGCAGACGGAAUUCCUAGUGUCGCGGUGAAAUGCGUAGAUAUUAGGAGGAACACCAGUGGCGAAGGCGGUCUGCUGGACAGCAACUGACGCUGAGGCGCGAAAGCGUGGGGAGCAAACAGGAUUAGAUACCCUAGUAGUC
rnacentral:rRNA from 1 species